UCAUCCUCAUCAGUAUCCCCACUCAAGAAAGGGCAUCACUCCCAUAGGAGAUUUCCAGACCAACCGUCCUAAGGUCCAAGGUUACUGCUAAGAAGGCAGUUGUGUACAAGGCUUGCCUGACUGACAUCUUUGGUUUGAAGAGGUGGAUUGCUGACCAGAGCUCUAACAUCGGGCCGAUCUUGAGCCAGCUUUGGCCUUCUCUGCACGCCUAAACCAUUUAUCAAAAUGUUUAUCACCAUUCUCCAUGGAGAUCAUGAAAAGACCUUAUUUAAUUCUCACUGCAAAGUAGAGGCGCUAUUGAGCAGUAUUAAGCAGUGCUGUGGCUGUGAGCCUGAAGAGAUGAUUGAACUGGCAGACGAGAGUGGUCAGUUGAAAAACCUUCUCCAGUACCCUCAACUCUAUGCAUCUGAACUGCUGAAGCCCCGAGAAACCUAUAUCCCUUUCUCUGUAAAACGACCUGAAGGUUCAUCAGAGCCAGUCUUUGUGGCUCUACUAAAAGAUGAAGUUAUUGACUCUAAAUUACUAGCUACCCUGAGGCUUGCAAGAAACUCCAACUCCACAGUGUCUGAGAAGCAACCAAAACCUGGGAAGACCAAGAGAAAAACUGUGACUUCUGAAGCUCGGAGCCAAAAGGUGAGUAUCUAACUGAAGGUCCCAGAUGGCCUUUCACUUUUCCUGCCACUAACACAUGUCAAAUCUGUCUUUGCUUCUGUUUCAGGCAAACUGAGAACCUUCCCAUGGAGCAACAGGAGGCAGGAUGGGACCUAGGGAUAUGUGCUGGAUUCAGAGUUGGGGGACAUGGGUUUGAAUCCUGGCCCUGCCACAGAUGACCUUUGUGACUUUGAACAAGUCCCUUUACCCCCUCUGGGGCUCAGUUUCCUCAUCUAUAAAAUGAAGGGGAUGGAUAAAAGAUCUCUAAGAUCCCAUCAGGCUUUAAUUCUAUGAAAUUAGAGCAGAAUCAUAUCCAUAUCAUGUCCUUUAUAUGGGAUGGGAGGACACUGUGAAAGGGCAUUAUGGCAAAAUAUCUGCUUUAGCUGCUAGUAAAACAUUUCCACAAUCUGUAAUAAAUAUCAUAUGCAUACACUACUGAGCUAGAAA
rnacentral:lncRNA from 1 species